rnacentral:rRNA from 1 species
CGUAUCGUUAUCUUGUCUCUUGGAUACGUGUUAAUACAUUUUGGCACAAUGUAUUAGCUUCAGCGAUGGAUCGGUUGAUUCGCGUAUCGAUGAAAAACGCAGCUAGCUGCGUUAUUUACCACGAAUUGCAGACGCUUAGAGUGGUGAAGUUUUGAACGCACAGCGCCGUUGGGUUUUCCCUUCGGCACGUCUGGCUCAGGGUUGCUUA